AUGUAAUGUAAUGCCUACAAUGUCAUUGCACCAUAUCCCAUUAGAACUCUGCAGUUAAGCGUUCUUGGGCUAGAGUAGUAUUGGGAUGGGUGACUUCCUGGGAAUUCCUAGUGUUUUACAUG
rfam:Picea glauca, whole genome shotgun sequence.